UGCAGAUGAUGUUAAAGAAUAUUUGCUAUCUUAACACAAUGAUGAUUUCCCACCAAGAUCGCUGAUGCA
rnacentral:snoRNA from 1 species